rnacentral:misc_RNA from 1 species
GUUCCGUAGGUGAACCUGCGGAAGGAUCAUUACAGAGUUCAUGCCCUCACGGGUAGAUCUCCCACCCUUGAAUAUUUAUACCUUAGUUGCUUUGGCAGGCCGUGGAAACACCAUGGGCUCCGGCUUAUGCGUGCCUGCCAGAGGAAACAAACUCUGUUUUUAGUGAUGUCUGAGUACUAUAUAAUAGUUAAAACUUUCAACAACGGAUCUCUUGGUUCUG